GAUAGCGCCAGACCGCUUUUUGCGGUUAACGAGGUGGGAGAUGAUCGAAUCUUCGGCGGAUGUCUCCCCGGUACGGUGCAGCCGCAGCGGCCGACAAAUCUGCGGGCAACCGCAGCACAAAA
rnacentral:ncRNA from 1 species